GCGAACGCUGGCGGCAUGCUUAACACAUGCAAGUCGUGCGCCCCCGCAAGGGGAGCGGCGGACGGGUGAGUAGCGCGUAGGGACGUGUCCUGAGGUGGGGAACAACCCCGGGAAACUGGGGCUAAUGCCGCAUAUGGCCGAGAGGUCAAAGCCUUCGGGCGCCUUGGGAGCGGCCUGCGUCCGAUUAGCUUGUUGGUGGGGUAACGCCUACCAAGGCUUCGAUCGGUAGCUG
rnacentral:rRNA from 1 species